rnacentral:piRNA from 1 species
UAUAUAUGAUUGUGAUCCCUC